rnacentral:rRNA from 1 species
UACGAAGGGGGCUAGCGUUGUUCGGAAUUACUGGGCGUAAAGCGUGCGCAGGCGGCUUCUCAAGUCAGGGGUGAAAGCCCAGAGCUCAACUCUGGAAUUGCCUUUGAGACUGAGUGGCUUGAGUACGAGAGAGGUGAGUGGAAUUCCCAGUGUAGAGGUGAAAUUCGUAGAUAUUCGGAAGAACACCAGUGGCGAAGGCGGCUCACUGGACUGGUAGUUGACGCUGAGGUGCGAAAGCGUGGGGAGCAAACAGG